rnacentral:rRNA from 1 species
UCAUCUUCGGGGGUAGAGCACUGUUUCGGCUAGGGGGUCAUCCCGACUUACCAACCCGAUGCAAACUACGAAUACCGAAGAAUGUUAUCACGGGAGACACACGGCGGGUGCUAACGUCCGUCGUGAAGAGGGAAACAACCCAGACCGCCAGCUAAGGUCCCAAAGUCAUGGUUAAGUGGGAAACGAUGUGGGAAGGCACAGACAGCCAGGAUGUUGGCUUAGAAGCAGCCAUCAUUUAAAGAAAGCGUAAUAGCUCACUGGUCGAGUCGGCCUGCGCGGAAGAUGUAACGGGGCUAAACCAUGCACCGAAGCUGCGGCAGCGACACUAUGUGUUGUUGGGUAGGGGAGCGUUCUGUAAGCCUGCGAAGGUGUGCUGUGAGGCAUGCUGGAGGUAUCAGAAGUGCGAAUGCUGACAUAAGUAACGAUAAAGCGGGUGAAAAGCCCGCUCGCCGGAAGACCAAGGGUUCCUGUCCAACGUUAAUCGGGGCAGGGUGAGUCGACCCCUAAGGCGAGGCCGAAAGGCGUAGUCGAUGGGAAACAGGUUAAUAUUCCUGUACUUGGUGUUACUGCGAAGGGGGGACGGAGAAGGCUAUGUUAGCCGGGCGACGGUUGUCCCGGUUUAAGCAUGUAGGCUGGUUGUCCAGGCAAAUCCGGAUAAUCAAGGCUGAGGUGUGAUGACGAGGCACUACGGUGCUGAAGUAACAAAUGCCCUGCUUCCAGGAAAAGCCUCUAAGCAUCAGGUAACAU